GCUGUGAAAUUUGGCUAUAAAUGGAACAUAGGGGAUGGGAGCAGAACCAGGUUCUGGGAAGAUACUUGGUUUGGCACAUCCCCCCUAGCAGUCCAAUUUUGGCCUAUUUACUCAGUCUGCAAUGAACAUAACAAAAGUGUGAAUGAAGUUUGGGAUGGGCAAUGCCUAAAACUU
rnacentral:rRNA from 1 species